AAAAGUUAAAAAGAAUCAAGUUUAUUUCUAUUAUAACUUGUUUCUGACAUUCAAAUCUAAAAGCAUUCCUUUUCCUGAGUCACUUCCACAAGGAAAUUCUCACUGUCACAAGUAUAGUAAAUGGAACAAAGUAAUUGGAUAAACCGAACAUGUACACCAAUAGCUACUUUGGACAUUCAACAUGGUUAAUUUACACAACAAUAACUUUGCUACAUUUCUAAUAAUAAGGAAUUCAGCAAAACAACUUCAUGUUGAUGGAAUCCUGGAGAUAUCUACCAGUAUCCUAUGUAGGCCUUGAGGCUUGGAGAAAAAAGGCGAGUGAUCAGCACCCUUAAGAUGAAAAACUUGUUCUGGAGGAUUAUUACUAAUUAGGUUUUGCUGUAAGGCUAUUGGUAUCGCAUUAUCUUCCGUUGUUUCUAUAUAAAACCGCCUAACAGAGCCAUACUUGGAGUCGGUAAGACAAAGCUUCUCCAAAACUGGGGAAAAGGGAAUCGGCCUCAUUGAGACAGAUGCUAAUGCAACAUCCUGCAUAGAAAUUUAAAUGGUAAGAGGAGAAAGCUUGGAAUAUCCACAAAUGGCAAUUUCCCCAAAGGUAUACAGACAGAUUUUGUAAGUAAAGACACCAGUUAUCCAUUUCAAAACCCACAAAAAGAAUAUCAAUUUUAAGUCUUUCCCUUGCUUCUAUAAUAAACCAACAAUUAGCAAUUCAUAUGACAGGUUUAGGGCAUCCAAUGAAUGGUCAAUUAAUACCAAGAUAUAGGUGAUACCAAGUAAACAUUAGAUAAGACUCUUUAUUUUACUCUGCUAUGUUUUGCAUUGUCCGACAGAG
rnacentral:lncRNA from 1 species